rnacentral:lncRNA from 1 species
AUCUGAGGAUUCGCCAUGCAUGCUUCCUGGAAUGGAAACCCACACUGCUGUUGUGAAGACACCUGAUGAAACUCCAGCAACUUCUACAUCUGGCCUGCUGCUUAGUCCUGGGACCUGAGGUCAAAAUCUUAGAAAAGAGCCAUGUGAGAUGCAUUCCCUGGCCUCAUCUCUGUUCUUGGAUGCUGUCAGCAACACUCCUUGAGUUUUUAC